rnacentral:rRNA from 1 species
UACGUAGGGUGCGAGCGUUAAUCGGAAUUACUGGGCGUAAAGCGUGCGUAGGCGGUCCCGCAAGUCCGCUGUGAAAGCCCCGAGCUUAACUUGGGAACUGCAGUGGAAACUAUGGGACUUGAAUCCGGCAGAGGGGGGUGGAAUGGCCACGUGUAGCAGUGAAAUGCGUAGAGAUGUGGCGGAACACCGAUGGCGAAGGCAGCCCCCUGGGCUGAGAUUGACGCUCAGGCACGAAAGCGUGGGGAG